rnacentral:rRNA from 1 species
AUGGACUACGGGAAGAGGCAGCAGGGCGGGGUGGUGGCGAUCGAGUGCGUGGCGGGCGGGUCGCGGGCGGAGGAGUGGGGCACGGGCUGCACCGAGACGGUGCAGACCGGCGACGUCGUGGAGGAGCUCCUCAUCGGGGUCGGCGGCCGCGGCGGGCCGGCCGUGCACGCCGCGCCCUUCAAGGGCGGCCGCGCCGCGCUGCAGAAGCUGCUGCACGCCGCCUACAAGCGCGGGGACACGUCCGUGGAGGUGCGCGUGCGGCGCCCCGCGCACGCGCAGCAGCAGCUGGUGCCGGGGGAGGUGGACAGCAGCGGCGAGCUGCUGGGCCCCGGCUCGGACGCGGCGGCCGCCAGGAUGCAGGCCUGCAUAGUGCCGCAGGAGACAACCGGCGGCGGCGGCGGGAUGGCGAUGGUGGGGCGCAGCCAGAAGUACGUGCUCCGGUCCAUCCGCGACCCCAACUACGCCGUCGGGCUCGUCGACCGCAGCGAGAGCGAAUGCGUCGCCUUCCGAGGGUCGAGGAGCUCUCGGGUGGUGUGCGCGCUGAGCAAGGCGCAGCUGCAGGACGGCUACGUGUCCUACCCGUGGGAGAAGAAGAUGAAGGAGGUGCUGCCGGUGCCCAGCUCCAGCAGCUUCCUCUCCCUGCUCGUCCUCCCCACCGCGCUCGACCGCGCCAACUCCCGCUACAACUCCGUCGACGACACGCUGGCCCGCGCCAACGCCUGGUUCCUCUCCUCGCAGGCCGCCGGCGUGCCCAUCGCCUUCCUCAACGUCCAGACCGAGGCCCUCCUCACCAAGAUCUCCGGCGACAUGGCCUCAGCGACGGUCAACUCCGGGUCACUGGCCGACCUCCCGAACCUUGCCAACGCGAGCCUGUACGGGUUCGAGGACUACCACGGCGUGGACAUCGGCGUGGUGAAGGCGGUGCGCCUCUGGUUCACAGCGGCCGCCGGAGAAAUGCCCGUGGAGAUCAUCCUCGAGGAGGGCGACACCAAGCUCGGCUUCGCCAUCAGUCGCACCGAAGAGGGCUUCCUCUACAUCUCGUCGGUCAUGGAAGACGACGGCGACCGGCCGGCGCCGUCGACGCGGUCGGGGCUGCGGGACCUCUACCGGGAGGCGAAGCGCGCGUCCAAGCUGCUGGUCAUCUCCCGGGUGUCGUGCCGCAAGGUGCUGCCGUGGAUGGUGUCCACCUCCGGGGCCAUCCGGUGCUUCGACACCGUGUCGCUCAGCCAGAAGCUGUCCCUGCACCGGCACGCCCUGCGCCCCAUCCUGCUCCACGUCCUCAUGUGGGACUUCGGCACCGACGCGCCGAACCGGCCGCAGGGGGCGCCCUGCCCGACGCCGCAGCCGUCCCCGGCGUUUGCCGAGCUGCUGCGGCAGAACUCCUUCUCGUGGGUCGACCAGCCGCCGCAGCCCGACGGCGAGCCGGGGAUGGUGCAGGGGAGGGACACCGCAGGGGACGCCUCCUUCAGGUUCCACAACUUCUCGCUGCCCAACAACUGGGUCUGA